rnacentral:rRNA from 1 species
GAUGAACGCUGGCGGCGUGCCUAAUACAUGCGAGUCGAGCGAACAGACGAGGAGCUUGCUCCUCUGACGUUAGCGGCGGACGGGUGAGUAACACGUGGAUAACCUACCUAUAAGACUGGGAUAACUUCGGGAAACCGGAGCUAAUACCGGAUAACAUGUUGAACCGCAUGGUUUAACAGUGAAAGACGGUCUUGCUGUCACUUAUAGAUGGAUCCGCGCCGCAUUAGCUAGUUGGUAAGGUAACGGCUUACCAAGGCAACGAUGCGUAGCCGACCUGAGAGGGUGAUCGGCCACACUGGAACUGAGACACGGUCCAGACUCCUACGGGAGGCAGCAGUAGGGAAUCUUUCGCAAUGGGCGAAAGCCUGACGGAGCAACGCCGCGUGAGUGAAGAAGGUCUUCGGAUCGUAAAACUCUGUUAUUAGGGAAGAACAAAUGUGUAAGUAACUAUGCACGUCUUGACGGUACCUAAUCAGAAAGCCACGGCUAACUACGUG